CACCAGCCCCUCGAGUGGUGGGGACUAUUAUUUGGCCUAAAGCGUCCGUAGCUGGCUGUGUCCGUCCUCCGUUAAAUCCAGCGUCCUAAGCGUUGGACUGCGGAUGAUACCACACAGCUAGAGGGUGGGAUAGGUGAGCGGUAUUUCUGGGGUAGGGGCGAAAUCCUUUGAUCCCAGGAGGACCACCAGUGGCGAAGGCUGCUCACUAGAACACGCCUGACGGUCAGGGACGAAAGCUGGGGCAGCGAACCGGAUUAGAUACCCGGGUAGUCCCAGCUGUAAACGAUGCUAGCUAGGUGUUGGGUCGGCCACGCGCCGCCCCAGUGCCGCAGGGAAGCCGUUAAGCUAGCCGCCUGGGGAGUACGGCCGCAAGGCUGAAACUUAAAGGAAUUGGCGGGGGAGCACCACCAGGCGUGAAGCCUGCGGUUUAAUUGGAUUCAACGCCGGA
rnacentral:rRNA from 1 species